GGUAUGAGCUUUUGUGUGCAUGCACACUUCUUCAGAUACACCGAAACAGAAGUAUCUGAAGAAGUGUGCAUGCACACAAAAGCUCAUACC